AAAAGAAAAAAAUGACAUCCAUCUAGAUGCUGAUGAUCCAAAUUCUGCUGACAAACAUAGAAAUGACUGUCCCAAUUGGAUAACAGAAAAAAUAAACUCUGGGCCUGAUCCAAGAACCAGAAAUCCAGAAAAGUUGAAAGAGUCUCAUUGGGAAGAAAAUAGAAAUGAAAAUUCAGGAAAUUCUUGGAAUAAAAACUUUGGUUCUGGUUGGGUAUCUAACCGUGGUAGAGGCAGAGGCAACCGUGGCAGAGGCACUUACAGAAGUAGUUUUGCCUAUAAAGAUCAGAAUGAAAAUCGGUGGCAAAAUCGAAAACCCCUCUCAGGGAAUUCAAACAGUUCAGGGAGUGAAUCUUUCAAGUUUGUGGAACAGCAAUCCUAUAAGCGAAAAAGUGAACAGGAGUUCUCAUUUGAUACACCAGCAGAUAGAUCUGGAUGGACAUCUGCAUCCAGCUGGGCCGUGAGAAAGACUUUGCCAGCAGAUGUACAAAACUACUACUCACGACGAGGCAGAAAUUCUUCAGGUCCACAGUCUGGAUGGAUGAAACAAGAGGAGGAAACAUCUGGACAGGAUUCUAGCCUAAAAGACCAAACAAACCAGCAAGUUGAUGGUUCUCAGCUACCUAUAAAUAUGAUGCAACCGCAAAUGAAUGUAAUGCAGCAACAAAUGAAUGCACAACACCAGCCUAUGAAUAUCUUC
rnacentral:lncRNA from 1 species